rnacentral:tRNA from 1 species
GCGGGUAUGGCGGAAUUGGUAGACGCGCUAGAUUCAGGUUCUAGUGAGGAUUCCUUCAUGAAGGUUCAAGUCCUUUUACCCGCACCA